rnacentral:pre_miRNA from 1 species
ACAACAACAUUCGGACCGUCGGUCUACCGAGCAAUGUCACCCGCUCGGUGGAAGAUCUUCCCUUUGUCGUUAAUC